AGAGGUGAUUCUAGGGCAGUGCCAGGCUAGUACAGAGAGGUGAUUCUAGGGCAGUGCCAGGCUAGUACAGAGAGGUGAUUCUAGGGCAGUGCCAGGCUAGUACAGAGAGGUGAUUCUAGGGCAGUGCCAGGCUAGUACAGAGAGGUGAUUCUAGGGCAGUGCCAGGCUAGUACAGAGAGGUGAUUCUAGGGCAGUGCCAGGCUAGUACAGAGAGGUGAUUCUAGGGCAGUGCCAGGCUAGUACAGAGAGGUGAUUCUAGGGCAGUGCCAGGCUAGUACAGAGAGGUGAUUCUAGGGCAGUGCCAGGCUAGUACAGAGAGGUGAUUCUAGGGCAGUGCCAGGCUAGUACAGAGAGGUGAUUCUAGGGCAGUGCCAGGCUAGUACAGAGAGGUGAUUCUAGGGCAGUGCCAGGCUAGUACAGAGAGGUGAUUCUAGGGCAGUGCCAGGCUAGUACAGAGAGGUGAUUCUAGGGCAGUGCCAGGCUAGUACAGAGAGGUGAUUCUAGGGCAGUGCCAGGCUAGUACAGAGAGGUGAUUCUAGGGCAGUGCCAGGCUAGUACAGAGAGGUGAUUCUAGGGCAGUGCCAGGCUAGUACAGAGAGGUGAUUCUAGGGCAGUGCCAGGCUAGUACAGAGAGGUGAUUCCAGGGCAGUGCCAGGCUAGUACAGAGAGGUGCCCAAUAAGUGUCAGAGCCCUCUUGUGGAAUGCAUCUGAAAUCAUUCCGAUAGUUCCGUAUAGAGUUCUAUUGUUCUAUAGUUCUAUUGGUUAUGCAGAUCUAUGGUUUAAACAGUAGGAUGCCAACAGAACAGCACAAUAUAAGCCUGUUAUUGUUGUUGUAUUCUUUGGAAAUCCCUUGUAAUUGACAACAAAUGCAAAUUAA